UUUUCAAAGGAAUGAGGAGAAUGUACAUAUGUGUUUGCCUCAGUGAUGGUGUACAGUCUGUGUACAAAGGCAUAUAGACAUGAUUGAUGUCAACAUGUUUCCCUGUUUCUAGCCAAGCUGGCAGCACCAGCUUAUUCUGAAAGAGAGGAAAUUGAUUUCCACCCAUUUACAGAAAAUCUAGUUUAUUAACAGUAGAUCAGACAAAAAGAACUGUUUCUCAUAGCUUGCUAGAACAUGCAGGGAAGGAAACAGCCAUGAUUUGGCUACUGGCAGCUCCGCAGCUGCAUGGCCAGACCCGCACCACCCACGUCACAGCGUGCGGCAGGCAGCACUGGCACGGGGCAGGGAAGUUACAGCCCUCCUGGGUGAAUCAGUGACCGGCUUAUCUGCGAACUCAGAAUAAAAGCACAACCUUCUGGUGUGUAAUAACGAGCUGCAUAAGAACUGGGGAAAUGCUUACAAAACCUUACUGUGUAUCUACUCUUCAAAGUGAGCUAGACUGCCCUAGCCGUGGCACGCCAGAUCUGUGCUGGUUAAUUUACUCUGUUCAUCGUCUAGAGCUACUUGAGAUGUGUUUUCAUUACCCCCCAGUCAGAUGAAAACAAGUUACCACGUGAACAACUUGUAGUAUGACCGACAUUAUAGAAAGAAAGAGCUCAAUACCUGUAUUUUGCAUGCUGUGUCUCAGCUUCUGUGGUGGAGCAGUGGUGCAGGCCAUGGGAAAUAACAAUGGGAACGACAGUCCCUGUGGAAAGGAGACCGUGAUGUUCUGCUCUCAGAUUCAGUCUGGGCACAGACCUCAAAAGCUGGAGCAGGCCUUCUGCUGUCAGUAGGUUUAGUGGAGAUGGGGUUAAUCCAGGUAGAAAUUAAGGAACAUCCUGAAAGAUGCCCUGGCUGUGGAAACAAAAGAAAGGAAUUAGGAGGGAGGUUGUUCGGACAAGCAUGUUUGCGCAAGUAGAGCUGAGAGAUGCUGGAUUUUAAGAAAAAGUAGUAAUUACUGGAUUGAAGACCUUAAUUCCUCUUGACAAACUGAAGAGGUCUGAUGCUGUGUGGAUAGGGUUCGUAUUAAAUGGGGCUCCUUCCAGGCCAUGCGGAACAUCUGAAGAGCAGCAAUGGUUUGUAAGGUGCCAGGCAUUGCUCCCCUCUGUGAGAAGUUUGAAGCUUUUUCUUUGCUUUAUUAUUUCUGUCUUGGAAUGUAAAACUUUACACAUGCACUAAAACUUGAAUAUAUUUAA